rfam:Vigna angularis cultivar Jingnong 6 chromosome 4, whole genome shotgun sequence.
UUGCCUUAAACUAAUGAGUAAGGAAAACAAAACAAGCAGUGGGAGCUGCUUGCAGCACUCAUUCUGAUGUGCACGAAUUUUUGAAGGGGUUAUAGGUUGUCCUUGAGCAGCUGUUGCUUACAAAGCUACUUAACUGAUUAAAAUUUAUUUU